GGGUGCAUGGUCUAGUGGUAUGAUUUUCGCUUCGCAUUCACCAGAUGCGCCUUUGUGAAAGGUCCCCGGUUCGAUCCCGGGUGCAUCCA